rnacentral:tRNA from 1 species
GAGCCAUUAGCUCAGCAGGCAGAGCACCGGACUUUUAAUCCGGGUGUCCCGCGUUCGAAUCGCGGAUGGCUCACCA